GAUCAGAUCCUCUCUCCCUCUUACUUCACUAAAGCUCCAUUCCAUUCCAUUCCAUCUCAUCUCCAGUUCAUCCCCUCACUUUCACAACAAACUUACUCUAGAAAAAAGUCAUUACAAUAAAAUUCCUUCUUUGAAAAAAUUACCACACAAGUUAGAUUCGAAUGCUGAGUUGUGAUACCUGUUGGUGCUGAGCUUUGAAAUGAUACCAAGGUACUUUCUUGAUGCUAGGGUUGGAUGGCCUGGGUUUCUGUUUGAGUUUGGAAGCUCUUGUCGUCAGCUGAUAUCUGUGGGACUGGAUGCUGCUGUUACUGCACUGUGGUCGCGUCUUACUAAGUGUGGGAUCACACUCUAGUGAAUCAAGCUUUGAGAUACUUGUCUAUAUGUUAAUUUGAGGACAGUGCUAAGCUGGUCUUUGCGUAACUAGGAAUGUUGAGUGUCGGGUUUUAUAGUCUUCUUUAAUCUGGUGUCAUGAUUUUCACCUCAUUAAGAGAUAUGGUGGGUCUUGAUUUAUAAAUAAGAAUCUUUUUUCACUUAAUAGAUAUAUCUUUUAAAUUGAAAAUGUGAUAAUUUUCUAUUUUCUAAACCCUGAUUUAUAAGAUAAUUUUUCUUAAUUUUUAUUCGUGUAAUCCUAUGUACCAACUAGCUAGCUAGAAAGUCAGUUUUCUCCCAAAAUAAAUAAAAAGUUACUAUCAGUCACUAAAUUAAGGCUUGUUUGACUGUUAACAAGGUUUCUUGAGAAGAUUAUUAACGAGAUUAAUUUAGACUUUUCUUUGAUAUGCAAAGCAACUAAACCAGGUAACCAGCUGGGCUAGAGCCAACCAGCUUUGUCUAUAAGGAAUUUUGGUGGCAUUAUCAGAUUUGGAGUAUGAAGUGACAGUUCAACAAUUACAG
rnacentral:lncRNA from 1 species